rnacentral:misc_RNA from 1 species
GUAUUGAUUGCGUGUCAUCGCAAAAAAAAAGACAUUCUACACUGCUUCGAGUUUGUGUGAAAACGCAAGCCCCCCUCCCGGAUCGGUUUGAUCCCAAAGGGUUGCCCACGCGGUGGUGCACAAAAGGGUGAGAUGGAUUUUUAUGUGAGAGGACACACUCUGGCGUGCACGACUCUUGUGGUAAAAGUCAGCGACAGCCCUCGCAUGCCUCACACAUUUUGUACGAUAAUGAUCCUUCCGCAGGUUCACCUACGGAAA